GGCAACCAGCUCUUCUGUGGCUCACACUCCGAAAGACGCAGCCCAGGCUUGUUGCUCAGGGUCAACAGUUCUCAACAGCUCCUGCGGCCUAACAGUGGGGCGGUCCGAACAGCAGCAGGCCCUGUUUUAGACACUGAGGCCACAGCUGAUGGAGAGACGAGAUCCCUGCUCCCACAUCAGUGACGGAAAUGAAUGAUCACAGCGAUUUCAGAUAGGGUGAUGGGACUGGGGUGAGAGGAGAAGGCAAACACAUUAGGAGGUCAGGGAAAGCCUCACUGAGACGGUGACAUCAGAAUAAGAAGUUGCUGGCCUGAAAUGCACGCAGCUGCAGACAAUAGAAUAUGAAGGAGAAAGGAAGAGGUCGGAGCGGAAGAUGUGCUAGGAGCCACCAUGUUCAGGAAGAGAUGACAGCUGCUUGGACCAGGCUGGUGAUCUCAGCAACUCCCAUGGAUUUAACAGGCGCUCAAGGCAGAGACCACGAAACCCCUCUCCCCUCCUCAUACGCCCACAUCCAUUCUGUUACCAAGCCCCAAAUACUCCACCUCCAGGACCUACCACGUAUGCUGCUUUCUGUCCCUCUUCCUUCCUCCUAUUGCAUCUCACCUACACCCUUCCCAUAUCUGUGUAACUGGCCUCCACCCCAUUAAUCUGUCAUUUAUACAAUC